UACGUAGGUGGCAAGCGUUGUCCGGAUUUACUGGGCGUAAAGCGCGCGCAGGCGGAUUGGUCAGUCCGGGGUGAAAUCUCACGGCUCAACUGUGAGCGGUCCCCGGAUACUGCCAGUCUCGAGGUGUCUAGAGGAGAGCGGAAUUCCCGGUGUAGUGGUGGAAUGCGCAGAUAUCAGGAAGAACACCCGUGGCUAAGGCGGCUCUCUAGUACGGUACUGACGCUGAGACGCGAAAGCGUGGGGAGCGAACAGG
rnacentral:rRNA from 1 species